ACUUCAGCACGUUUUCAGCAGGAGGAACUGUUGAAACGUAGACGGCGCUUCAAGCAGACUGACUAUGUCGUUAUUUCUCGUGAAAUAAAGGUUUGUAUCACUCUUCUUAUCAUUUAACGUUAAUCGUGACCGUUUGGCAAAAUGUGCCGUUUUGAAUGUAAAAUAUCACUUGUGAUGUAUUAAAGCAAUAAGCCCCAAGAAGCAGUGGAUUACUGGGGCAUUUUAUAACAGCUAAGGGCAUUGUGGCACGACGCGAAGCGAAGUUAUUCCAUAAUGCUUAGCAAGGUAUCAUAAAAUAAAGUAAAUAAAAUGAUAUUUAGGCUACGUGGUGCAGUCAGCCGUUAUAUAAUGGGGUAUUUUAUAAUGGCUUAGAACUCCGCUCAGCCAAUCAGAAUCAAGGACCGGAACUGACCGUUUUAUAAUUAACGUUAGAUCAUAAUCACCUAAAGCGUAACUUAGUGCAUUGCCAAACCGCACACAAAGUGUAACGUUAACGUUUUUUUUCUGUGGGAUGCGAGUUUUUUCACAAUAACAAUUUAUUGCAAUCACAUAUUUAGUAUUGUUAAAUCCAAGUUAAUGACAAUGUUUGACUAAAAUAUAUAUUUGUUCCCUCAGACCUGCUCUGACUGUCCGUGUUGACACACCCACAGCAACCGUUCUCUUGAGACCAAGCUCGGAGACAAAAAAGAACCGAGCAUCAGCCUUGGUACAUGCAUUCCCCUGUCUGCAUGAUAAAACUGCCUGUGGUUAUGAAACAUGGUAUGCCCAAUGCCGAAAUAAUAGACCAGCCACUGGGUUCAUUGAAGAGAGACUGAGGAACAUACGAAAGCGACUGAGGCGCUUGAGACCACCACAAGGAGAGAAAGAUGAUGCCCCAUGUGGGACAGUCAUGCCAGUCCUUUAGGUUGGAACAAAUGUGGUGGAGUAGCGGCUGAAGCAUCAGGACCUUUCCCUUAUGUCCCGCUACUUGAAAAUGGACAGAUUGACUCCCAGGCAUUUGUCAUCAAGAGAAUCUCCAACAGUGACAUUUUUACUCUUCUCUACAUUUUUGCAAGUAUGAUAUGGGGUUCUUUGAACAAAGCAUUUUGGUUUGAUUACAUGAGUUUUUUGUUAAAAAGUUAUUUGUUAAAAAAUCUUUUUUACUAAACCUUGUUCAUGGAAUUCUUGUUUGUUUUAUCUUAAAACAUUUGGAGUUUAAAUUUCAUACGCACAUUGAUUAAAAUAAUAUGAGAUCAAUUUGAAAAAAAAAAUGUUUACUAAAAAUCGAGGUUUUCUGAGCGUUGAGGAGUUUAUGACUUGUAUGUA